rnacentral:rRNA from 1 species
CACGGGGGGAGCAAGCGUUGUUCGGAAUCACUGGGCGUAAAGGGUGUCUAGGCGGUCAGGUAAGUGAGAUGUGAAAUGCCCCGGCUUACCCGGGGACCGGCAUCUCAUACUGUCUGGCUUGAGUAUGGGAGAGGAUGAGGGAAUUCCUGGUGUAGCGGUGAAAUGCGUAGAUAUCAGGAGGAACACCGGUGGCGAAAGCGGCUCUCUGGGACGGUACUGACGCUGAGACGCGAAAGCGUGGGGAGCAAACAGG